UGCAUUAUUGAAUUGAAAACA
rnacentral:piRNA from 1 species